rnacentral:rRNA from 1 species
GAUGAACGCUGGCGGCGUGCCUAAUACAUGCAAGUCGAGCGAACGGACGAGAAGCUUGCUUUUCUGAUGUUAGCGGCGGACGGGUGAGUAACACGUGGAGAACCUACCUAUAAGACUGGGAUAACUUCGGGAAACCGGAGCUAAUACCGGAUAAUAUUUUGAACCGCAUGGUUCAAAAGUGAAAGACGGUCUUGCUGUCACUUAUAGAUGGAUCCGCGCUGCAUUAGCUAGUUGGUAAGGUAACGGCUUACCAAGGCAACGAUGCAUAGCCGACCUGAGAGGGUGAUCGGCCACACUGGAACUGAGACACGGUCCAGACUCCUACGGGAGGCAGCAGUAGGGAAUCUUCCGCAAUGGGCGAAAGCCUGACGGAGCAACGCCGCGUGAGUGAUGAAGGUCUUCGGAUCGUAAAACUCUGUUAUUAGGGAAGAACAUAUGUGUAAGUAACUGUGCACAUCUUGACGGUACCUAAUCAGAAAGCCACGGCUAACUACGUG